rnacentral:sRNA from 1 species
AGCAUUGGUGUUCCAGUCGCCACUGGGA